GUGAUAUGAGUACAUUCUUCUUUUAAUAAAGAAAGACCACUAACCAAAAAAAAAGAAAAAACUGUGACACUAUAUAGACCGGGUGCUGACAUGCAACUACACAUAGACAAUAACCCACAAAACCAAAAUGGAAAAUGGCAACCUAAAUAGGAUCCCCAAUCAGAGACAAUGAUAAACAGCUGCCUCUGAUUGGGAACCAAUUCAGGCCACCAUAGACCUACAUUACCUAGACAUACAAAACCCCCAUAGAUAUACAAAAAUCCUAGACAGGACAAAAACACACAUACCCACCCUCGUCACACCCUGACCUGACCAAAAUGAUACAGAAAACAUAGAUAACUAAGGUCAGGGCGUGACAGAACUGCCAAACAGGAGAAAAUGUGCUUUGAAUUCUUCCCCACCAAGUCAGCCAUCUUUUUUCUGAUUUAGCAUAAGGCAGGCUAUAUAGGCUUAAUGAAACCCAGUCCCUUCCUUUUUUUACAGUCUGAGUCCGGUUUGAGUAUGGUGUAAUUAACAGGUGUGUGUUGUUAAAAGUUCAUUUGUGAUAUUUCUUUCCUUCUUAAUGUGUUUUAGCCAAUCAGUUGUGUUGUGACAAGGUAAGGGUGAAAUACAGAACAUGGCCCUAUUUGGUAAAAGACCAAGUCCAUAUUACGGCAAGAACAGCUCAAAUAAACAAACAGAAACGACAGUCCACCAUUACUUUAAGACAAGAAGGUCAGUCAAUGCGAAACAUUUCAAGAACUUUGAAAGUUUCUUCAAGUGCAGUUGCAAAAACCAUCAAGUGUUAUGAUGAAACUGGCUCUCAUGAGGACCGCCACAGGAAAGGAAGACCUAGAGUUACCUCUGCUGCUGAGGAUAAGUUCAUUAGAGUUACCAGCCUCAGAAAUUGCAGCCCAAAUAAAUGCCUCACAGAGUUCAAGUAACAGACACUGUGAAAUAUAUUUUCAAUAAAACAUUUUGUUUAAUUUUUUUACAGCUGUUUGAAGCUGGUGGACCAAAACUGAAAGUAAAAGGCUCAAGCGCGAGUCUCCACCAUGGGAUGAGGUUCACCUCAGACAGCACACAGAACCUUUCCAUUAUGAAUGAAGAAAAGAGCCCAAGUGUUUCACCACAGGAAACCCAGUAGGGCAGAAACACAUGUCAAAUUAUAGUGGCACCCAGUGGUGCAGUCGACUCAAAUGACUCUGACGUCAGACUUCAGGCACAUCUGGAACAGUUUGAAAUACUGUAAUGUUUUAUGUCAACAAAUGAUCUUGAAAUAAAAACAUGAAUAGCAGGAAAACACUAGACCAUAUGUGUUUCUUGAGGAGCAUGAUUCAGUUGUACGAGUCUGUUUGACCAGUUUGUUCAGUUGUGUAUUAUUAGACAAAGUUGUGUAAUGUAGGAUAUGUUCAUGCAUAUCUCCCAGAUUUGUAUGAUGAAGAUUACAGACCAGUACAGAAUAGUACAGAACAGAACAGUACAGAACAGUCCAUAACAGAAUAGGACAGAACAGUCCAGAACAGUUCAGUUCAGUCCAGAACAGAACAUUCCAGAACUGUACAGAAUAGUAGAGUAGAGUACAGAGGAGGGAUAGAACAAAGUUUCCUGAACUGGGCAACUGAGUCACACAAGUCCAACAUGUUUUUCCCACAUACUGUACAGUGUGGGUGGUCAAUCACAAAGUGCAACUAUUACAUGUCUGCUGUUGCUGCCCUGUUUCACUGCACCCUCUUGCCAGGUCGCUAUGUAGCUGAAUAUGUUCUUCAUAACCUACUUGGCUAAAUAAAGGGCCUAAAUUAAUAAUUAAAUAAAUAAGACACACCAAUUAAAAUAUGUUUAAUGAGUUCGAUCUUCAAUCUCACUCCAAAAGCGAAUUCUGCGCCAAACAGAUUGGAUAAUGAUCAAGGGAACAACCCUCCCCAUUCGACCAAUGAUCGGUGAGAAGGGAUAUGGUUAGGAAGUUUUUGCUUUAGUGCUACAGAUGAUCUAAGUAAAUGUGCAUUACUCUGUCCUUGUCCGUUCCCUGGCUAUGUCAACUCAUUUAUUAAUAUCUUCUAUUCAGUCAACACUUUUCAUUUUACAGCAAAUCUCAAAGUGAUUUACAAAUGUCAAGACAUUAGGUGCAUAUCAGCCUGUUCCUUCAGCUUAUCACCACCUACCAGAGACCUGGUCAUAGUGACAGGGCACAAAACAACCUGACGUGUGACAGGGAAUCAGGUGACUAGUGUGUUUACACAGCACUAAGUUUAGUAUACAAAGAAAAUAGGCUUUCCAUAUUAAGGCAAAGUUCAGUAUUUCACAACUUAAUGUUAAGUUUGUAGUGUCUUUUAAAAGAAAACAGAAGCAUGGAUUACAGUUUCUCCUGGCCCAUAAACACUUUCAGGGUGAGGAAACAUCUAAUACACUGAACUCCCCCGUUAAACCAAUCUUGUCUAACAAGGGAAAUGUACAAUGAUACUUUAUUGUAAAAGCACUUGACCUCACACACACACAGCCAGGACAGGUUAUUAGGAGGAUCUAGCUAAAAGAUCAUGGCAGAUUCAUCACAGUACACCUGAAGAUGUGGAUGAUGCAGUUUAAACAGCCCACAGCUACAUCACUGGGCUUCACAUGAGAUAUUCAGUGAUAACAGAUCGUGAUGCCCCAUCAUUAACUUCCACUGGUAGUGAGUCAUUGACAGAUAGUUUACCAGCACCACUUGGUGAAUCUUUGUCUUAGUUUACCAUCACCAUUUGUGUGCAGUGGGGUCUGUGCCAGCCUGUAGUAACCAGACCGACGUGUCAAUGGUGAUCUAGACUUAGGACUGUGUGCUCAGGCAAGGGAGGGGGUAGGUAGAGGGUGGUGGUGGUAGGGGGUUGUAAUAUGAACACAAGAUGUAAUAUGAAUGGGUUACUCUACUGACUUAAAAAGACCAAUAGAAAUCAACCAGUCCCCAAUCAAAACCAAUCAGGAUAACUUGUUCUGUUACAUUUCAAAACAGCUGGGAUUGGCAAAUACACAGAUUCCCCUACACUAAACUCAAAUGAUACUAAAUCAACAAAUGAUGAACAUGUUACUGUCGUAGCAUCUCCAUCUUUGACCCUGUCUACCCUCUCUCUCACUUUCUUUAUCACAUACACAAACACCUGAACAGUGGGUGUUUAUCUCAGAGGAGUGCACUUUGGCUCGGAGAACGACAAGUCAAUACAUCCCCACUCAUAUAUAUAUAUAUAUACAUAUACAGGCUAGCUCACCGCUGCCUCUCAGCUACUGCCUGCU
rnacentral:lncRNA from 1 species